GAUGCCGAACUGCUUCAAGUUCAUCUCUGUUCUCUAUUCCCUGAUAUAUCAAGGUUUCUGGUCCUCAUACCGUGUGGUUGAGUGAAAUCAAAACUUCCACGAUAGCAAUGCUGAUUGGACAAAGAAUGUGUUGUGGACACAAAACCAAACUCUGGAGGACAGAGGAUUCAUUCCAAGGGUCUGCUUGUAUUCAAUGACUGGUCUACGUGGGGGUGUGAAGUCCCCUUACUCCACCUGUGAAGAGUCUUCCCAGUUUCAGACCACCCUCCCAGCCUCCUGUUAUUGGCUAAGGCCAUUUUGUGACUACACUGCAGGUAGAGACAGAUUCUCUGGAAGUACCUUCUCAAGGCCAGUGUAGAGCUCCCAAUCACCCAGCAGAUUCUCCCUCUCCCACUGCCCGCACCAAGCAGGUCUCCAGGUGUUCCAGCUGCUGAUGAAGUCCAGUGUGGAGUUGGUCCAGGAGGGUCGUGUUCCAGGCAGCAGAGGAGCGCUCUGUGUGGAAGAGGCUGAAGAUCUGCUGCAGCAUCUCAUGGAGGACAGACAGGGCCUGGGCCUGCUGCAACUGGCUGUCAUACACAUCUC
rnacentral:lncRNA from 1 species